rnacentral:rRNA from 1 species
CCUACGGGUGGCAGCAGUGGGGGAUAUUGCACAAUGGGGGGAACCCUGAUGCAGCGACGCCGCGUGGGUGAAGAAGCGCCUCGGCGCGUAAAGCCCUGUCAGCAGGGAAGAAAAGGACGGUACCUGAAGAAGAAGCCCCGGCCAACUACGUGCCAGCAGCCGCGGGAAUACGUAGGGGGCAAGCGUUAUCCGGAUUUACUGGGUGUAAAGGGGGCGCAGACGGCGAUGAAAGCUAGGAGUGAAAGCGCGGGGGCCAACCCCGGGACUGCUCUUGGAACUGCGUGGCUGGAGUGGAGGAGGGGCAGGCGGAAUUCCUGGUGUAGCGGUGAAAUGCGUAGAUAUCAGGAGGAACACCGGUGGCGAAGGCGGCCUGCCGGACUUCAACUGACGCUGAGGCCCGAAAGCGUGGGGAGCAAACAGGAUUAGAUACCCGAGUAGUC